ensembl:lincRNA
AUUAUCCACACCUGCGAGGUGUGCUCAUUUGCUGGGGGUUUUAGAUGUGUUCUUCUACCUUUUAGGUGGCUUCAAGCGCAGUCCUCGUUCACAUCCUGGUGUUCAUAGUGACAGAGAGUUAAAAUUUUGAAAAAAGCUGAUCAAUGGCAAAAAAGCAACAAGAUGAAGAAAUACCUGGAGACUUCAUAUCUCUGAAUUGAGGUGCCUCCACACCAUCUUGGUUAUUGAGCCUUAGCUGCCGUAUUUUUUAUUUGGAAAUCUUCACCUUCCUCCGGAUUGGCUCUAAUGAUGGCUCCAUCUGAGAUUUUCCUGUUUACCAUUUACCUGGGCAUUGAUUUGGACAAAGAAUCGUCUCUCUGCUGCCAGACAAGUAAUGUCAUCGCACGUACACAAUUUAAGACAGAGCAUCUGGUGCUUCUUGGACCUUCAAGCAAGUGUCACAUCUCAGGUGAACCUUGGCAGUUUUUAGGGUGUGAGGUUCGGAGGGCCUCUCGUCAAAACUUUGGAGGGCUCUGUCAGUUUGAAAAGAACAUGACCUUUAAAUUGUAUCAGUAUGUUUGCUGGUGCAUAAGGGAGAGGAAAGGUUCGUCUUGAUGGAAAACCACUCAGAAGCCAAGGAGUAAUUCAGAGGGAACCAGCCCAGGAAGAAUCAAGAAAGCUGCCCACAGUGUCAUUCUUCAGCUGAGAAAAGAGAGAAAUGACUAACUCCUCGGACUGGAGUGAGGACUCACAGAGGUGGCAGGACUCUGACCAUCUAUGUCUCCAUUUCCCGGGUUGUAACACUGGGGUAGAACAUCUCACUCUCCCACGGAGGAUUAUGUUACUUUUGGAGAUUAAUAAUUUUGGAGGAAGAAAGGUGGCUUCCUCAAAAGGAAGUCACAUGAAGAAGCAACUUACACGGUGGUCUCUUUAUAUAAACAUACUGUGACUAGACAAUGUAUUUGUUCUCUGUAGCAGGAAAGAGCAAUGAGCAGGCUCCUGACUCUAGGCCCGGUUUAUCCUCACGUUGUGAAUCAUAAUCAUUUGUCAGCUUAGGUGAAGCCCCUGUGCCCGGCUGCAAGCCACGGUGCUGUGAAGUAUUGACUGAGUCCGGGUGCCUAAUGCAAAAUGCAAAAUAGGAAUUGAAACAUACUUGAUGGAAUUAAAACAUUAGUAUUGGCUUUCAGCUCUCGGUUCUCUAGCUCCUGUAAUAAAUGCAGGGCAUCUUAAAAACAAAACCCAACAAACCAGCAGAAAACAGCCGGGCGCCUUUGCAAGGCAGGAGAGGCACAGAACCUCGCUGCAAGAUUUGCGAAUUGAUUUUCUCCAGUGUGGACUCAGGCAACUGUUUCAUUUCUAACUUUGACAUAUACUUUUCAUUUAUUUUAAGUAGAAUGAUCUUAUUUUUACCAUGGGUAUAGGAAGACACUGUGACAUGCUAGAUAAAUGAAAUAAUCCUGAUUACCACAUUAAGCCAUACGCAGGGAAUCUUAAAAAGAAAGUGCUAUAAAAAUCUAACGUGGAUACACUUACUCGAACAUCAGUGUUUAUCAGCAUGUAUAUGCACUGGGCCUUCUCUGAAGCGGGGGUCACCACAGCAUGGGAUUUGGGGUCUGACCUUUGCCAAGGAAGUCCAUAAUGUAUUUCAUAUGAGAUAGCUUCCUAGAGAAAUGAAUCUUGU